GCUGGCGGCAGGCCUAACACAUGCAAGUCGAGCGGUAACAUUUCUAGCUUGCUAGAAGAUGACGAGCGGCGGAAGGGUGAGUAACGCGUAGAAAUCUACCUAGUAGUGGGGGAUAGCCCAGAGAAAUUUGGAUUAAUACCGCAUACGCCCUACGGGGGAAAGCGGGGGAUCUUCGGACCUCGUGCUAUUAGAUGAGUCUGCGUCGGAUUAGCUUGUUGGUGAGGUAAUGGCUCACCAAGGCGACGAUCCGUAGCUGGUCUGAGAGGAUGACCAGCCACACUGGAACUGAGACACGGUCCAGACUCCUACGGGAGGCAGCAGUGGGGAAUAUUGCACAAUGGGCGCAAGCCUGAUGCAGCCAUGCCGCGUGUGUGAAGAAGGCCUUAGGGUUGUAAAGCACUUUCAGCAGUGAGGAAAGGGGUGUCGUUAAUAGCGCCAUCCUGUGACGUUAACUGCAGAAGAAGGACCGGCUAACUCCGUG
rnacentral:rRNA from 1 species